CCGAGCGAGGGUGGAGAGCCGGGCGGGCGGGGAGGAGGAGGCGGCGCCCGCUCGCCCGCCGCGGCCGCCUGCGGACCUGCAUCCCGCGGGGCGGGCGAGCGGGCGGCGGUCCCUGCGUGCGCCCUCUGCGCUCCGGCCGGCGGCUGCGGGCGGACGCGGGGCCCAGGCCGGCGCAGGGGCCGAGUUUCGGCAAAGUUUGACCUGGUUGCCUUUCCGAUGCUGCAGCAGAGCGAGGCAGCGCGGGGCGCGCCAGGCGGCUGCGGCGGGGCGGCGGGGCUGAGCGGCGACAGCACGCUCGCAAUGAUCAUAAAAUAAAGAGGGCGUGCGGGGUGGGGGCGAGAGAGCCCCGAGCCUCAGCCCUCCGCCCCCAGCCACCCCCAGCCGCCCCGAGCCAGGAGGGGGUGGGGGCCCGGGGAGCCCACGCCGGCCCCAGACCCCAGUAGACUGAGCCAAGGGGUACUGCCCCGGGGAGUGGGGAUCCCCGAGAACGUGCCGGCGGCGGGGUCAGGGGCUCCGGAGGGCGGCGGCCCGGACACGCGGAGCGACCCCGGGGGCAGGUCCUCGGCGGCCGCGGCGAACCAGGCAGCGGCGGCGGCGGCCCGGCAGCAGCCCCGGGACCCUAAACGGCGAUCGGCGGCGACAGCUGCGAGGGGUUCGCGGUGCGCCCACGAGUGGGCGCCGACGGGGGCCCGGAGAACGCUGAGCCCAGAGCGCGCCUGUCCUCGAGGGCGCCGGGAGCUCGGCCCAUUGAACGGAAACCGCUCUUCCAUUGAUUGGGCCCCGCCAGGCGGGCGCGGGUGCCCGGGGAAGCGCGUGCGGAAGGCAGAAGGGCAGGAAGUCGGUGUUCUGCAGCAAGGGUGGCGCGACCGCGCGGGGACCGAGCCAUCCUUAUUUAUGUGUCUUGCCAGCGCUCGCCUGCUUCCUCCGAAGACUUAAGAGAGAGUCUCUGAGCUGCCAUCCCCGCGUGUGAGGCCAGGAAGGGCUGGAUGUCAGAACAACAUGCUUAUCCAUUAAACUCCAAACUUUUCUUUUUUUAACCCAAAGAAUAUCGGUGAUUUUUGUCCACUGCUAGGAGAAGACGAGAGCCCAGGGCUCUUGCGAUGCAGCAAAAUCCUUAUUUAUAAACAGGCCCCCUUCACUCAGUGAGUGCUGUAUCCUAUGGAUAUCAGUCUUGAGGUUUGAGGUUGGAUCGCACCCGUCUACACUGGGUUCUGCCGCCUCCAUCUUUUCAAUGCCCUGUCUCCACUGGGACUGCUGGCCUUCCCUGGGGAUUAGAGCGGUCCUGUGUGCCAUGGGCUGUAUUCAGAGCAUCGGAGGCAAAGCCAGAGUCUUCCGGGAAGGGAUCACCGUGAUCGAUGUCAAAGCCUCUAUCGAUCCCAUCCCCACCAGUAUCGACGAGUCCUCCAGUGUGGUGCUCCGCUAUCGGACGCCCCACUUCCGGGCCUCAGCCCAGGUGGUCAUGCCGCCCAUCCCCAAGAAGGAGACCUGGAUCGUUGGCUGGAUUCAGGCGUGCAGCCACAUGGAAUUCUACAACCAGUACGGGGAGCAGGGCAUGUCCAGCUGGGAGCUCCCUGACCUCCAGGAGGGCAAGAUUGAAGCUAUCAGUGACUCGGAUGGGGUGAACUACCCCUGGUACGGCAACACCACAGAGACCUGCACCAUUGUGGGCCCCACCAAGAGAGACUCCAAGUUCAUCAUUAGCAUGAAUGACAACUUUUACCCCAGCGUCACGUGGGCUGUGCCGGUCAGCGAGAGCAACGUGGCCAAACUGACCAACAUCUACCGGGACCAGAGCUUUACCACGUGGCUGGUGGCCACCAACACCUCCACCAAUGAUAUGAUCAUCCUGCAGACGCUACACUGGCGCAUGCAGCUCAGCAUCGAGGUCAACCCCAACCGGCCCCUGGGCCAGCGCGCCCGGCUUCGAGAGCCCAUUGCCCAGGAUCAGCCCAAAAUCUUGAGCAAGAAUGAGCCCAUCCCGCCCAGUGCCCUGGUCAAGCCCAAUGCCAAUGACGCUCAGGUCCUCAUGUGGAGGCCCAAGUACGGGCAGCCGCUGGUGGUGAUUCCACCUAAGCACCGGUAACAGCCAGCGCGGCCGGCUGGGGUAGACUCACAAAUAAUAAUUCCGCUCAGAACAAAACCCGACGUACUCUUCGGUCAUUCAGCAAAAUACAACCAUUCUACCUUCUCCAGCAGGCGCUCUCACUGUGCUGAUGCCCUCGAUGGCCUCCCUGGCAAUGGCACCUGCUUCCCUAUGGGGAGGGGGGAGACCAAGUGGGACAGACAGACCCCAAGGGUUACCGCUGGUCUCCUUUCCUCACAAUCUCAGUCGUUCACUUGCAGCCGAUUCCCAAAAACACUGCUUUUUUUUUUUUUUUUCUUUUUAAACUUCUCUUUAUGGGGUUCAGGGAGGGAGGAGAAGGAACUGAUUGUGAGGACACCCAGGCCUCAAUCAAGCCUGACCUGUGCUGUCCAUGUGUUGUAGCGGCAGGCCUUCCCUUCCUGCCUCCCCUCGUCCUCUGCCACGCGGCCUUAUGUAGACUUGCUUCGCCAAAUUUUUGCCUUAAGCUGAAUUUAAAGGAAAAAAAAAGGGACACAGGAUCUCUUUCCUCCUGGACCUUCCUCUUCUGCCAGAGGCGAAGGGAGGGGCUGGCCCAGAUGGGACAGCUAUCUGAGCCCCUCUUCCUGGUAGUCUGGGCAAGGGGUAAAGGCAAGGGUCCAGGCCUAAAACCAGCUGUUUGUUCCUUGUUUUGGCAGAAACAAAACCACAGACAUUCUGCCUAAGAGCCUCCUUCCUCCCCAGCCCCCACCGGGUAGAAUCCCUCCCUGGUACUGCAAGAGGGGGUGUGAGCUUGGGGGAGCAUAUCUGCAGCCCCCUCUUCCCUCCCAACUCCCAGCAACCUUAUCUUACCCAGGUGAUUUUGGGGGGAGGUGAAGGUCCUGUGAGCAGUGGGCUGGGCUCAGGGAACCUUCAACCAUUUCCGUUUCCAAGGCCAGCCCCUCUAAGUGUACGGCUUUUUCUUUUUAUCCACAGUGGUCCCAAAUACCUGAGGGCCACCACCUGGCCUUUGAGUAGGUUUGGGUCCCAAGGCAAGGAAGGCCUCUCUUCCCUUCUUGCACUUCAUCGUAAGGGUUCAGGCCUUAUGCUGGACUGGCCAUCAGUAGUGCGCUGCAGACAGGGCUUCAGGCUCGUUCUCAGGGAUGCUGCUCCCAGCUCUCUGGGGGACAGCUGUAGACCUGCUCUGAGCAUGGAGGGGGACUGCCGAGGUACCUGUGCCUAGGUGCUCCUGGGUCUGGGGGAUCUGGGGGGGUAAUCAGUGGACACCCUGCUUUUUGUCCUCCAACAAGGAAACCCAGGCCCAGGGCUGGAAGGGUCAGGUGGCCCACUGUCAGUGGAGACACACCAAAUCAAGCCAUUUUUGGAGCUGGGGCUGGCAACCAGCAGGUGGCCAGUGUUGGGGUCCACCCUCUGGAGCCCAAAGACUUGGUCCUGAGCAGCGCCAAGGUUUAGCAACGUCUGCGUUGCGGAAGCUGGUCACGACCCUUGCUAAAGCCACACUUCCUCCAGCUUGCUAAACCCACAGCCACGUUACCAGGCCCUGUAUCCCAGCUAUAAUCAAGCACAGAGAACUGUGAGCAAAGAAAAAGAAUCCAUUUCUGCAACAGAUGAGCCACUGUAAGGUCUCGGUGACGGUGUGGGAAGGCUCGGGCCCUAGACCCCUGCUCUGCCCCACCACACGAUGUAUUUCAAGGGGUGCUUAAAGCUCACUCAGGCUCCUGACCGCUCAUGUCCACCUAGAACACACUGGGCUGGACUGGUGGCGGAACGGUGCUGGGGAGCUCCUCUGGGGAGCCCCACCUCAGGACUGGGAUGUCCCUGCUGGGUAGCUGAUCCCCUUCCUGUGCUCAGAGGCCCUGCUCCCUGGGGGCUGAGGCCUGGAGUGGGGAAAUGAUGAGGUCCCCUCUUGGGAUAGGACUGGCCUCCUAUUGGAGAGGCCUUUGUCUACACUCAGGUCUUUCUUGCACUAAAGAGGAGAUGGGCCCUGGCUCUGGGUUCUCAUCCCAUCCCAGACCAGGUCACCACUAUGGGGCUUUCCUUGGAAGUGGGGCUGGGCGGGAAACAGGAAUGACAGUGCCCAAGGGGAUCCUGAGCUGCUCUGGAGCACAGGGGCCCCAACACCUGCAUUUCUGGAGACCCCUUCCCCUGCAUGCCCGGCCCUGCCCGCCUGGCUGCCUGGCUCCCCUCACCCCUUGUCCCUUUCUGUCCACCCUUCUGCCUCGCUGAAGACAGGCUGGGAAGACCCCAGAGAGGCUGUGGUCCAGUCGAGGAUGCUCAGCUUCCAUUUGGCCAGGUCCCUCGGCCCUCUUAUGUUGGAGCACAGACCCAAGACUUCCUGCCCAGGGCCCCCGAUUUCUCUGACAUCCCCCCACGCCCAGCUGGCGUGGACACUAACUCCUUCCAGCAAUAAGAGCCUACCGUCCUAGGUCGUGGAGAGUACUGUGAAAUCAAACCAGUGCACUUACCAGGAGGCACGAGACUCUUGAAGACAAUGUAAAAUGAACCUUUUUAAAAAAAAGUUUAAAGAAACACAAAGAAAUAAAAUUAAUUUUAAAGUAGGUCUGGCGAGCAUCUGGAUGUUUUCACAAUUGGCGGUUCUUUGGGGGCUGAUGGCUUGCUGAGGCUGCCACUGUAAGGCUAAGGGCUGAAGGCGGGAGGCCAGCUAGGCUGUUAGCACACCUGCUCCUUUUCACGGCGCCAUCUUAGUUGGCCAGUGUCCCCGGGAAGGAGGGCAGCUUGGCUUGUUGACAAAUAGAGCCCCUUAGGUUGAGGGUGAUUCAUGUCUAGAUUGGGCCCUGAUUUGGGUCACCUGUGGACCUGCCAACUUGUCUGUGGAACCUGGGAACGUCAGACACGUGGCUCCGCCUGCCCUUGGCCAGUAGCUGAUGAAGAGGCUGCAUGGGGUCGGAGCACAGAGAGGAAUGCCUUCGAAUCAGAACAUUCGUAGGUAAGGGCGGGGGGCUCCCUUUACCAGAGAUGCCGGAGUGGGUCUGGGCCUGAAGGUUCAAGGUCCCCUGUGCGACUCUGGGUGAGAUACAGACCUUGCAUGGAAAAGGGGCUCUUGGAGUAGCUGCCGCCACCACCACUGCCACCGCCACUGUGGAUGAACACAUUCUGCACUAGUCCCUGGAGCAAAGUCACUGAGUCCUCAUGACAACCCCACAGUGGGGUGCUAUUUCCAUUUCACGGAUGGGGAAGUGGACAGUGGGGGUCAAGGAGCAGCCCCAGGCCAUGCAUGGAGAAGAGAGUCCUAUAGUAAUUAGUUACUAUUAGGAAAUCCCCAAGCCUUGGCUCCCUCCAUCCUCCAGCAAGAAAUGCCUGACUCCACAACCCACUGCCCGGAAGUGGAAGUCAGUUCUCCAUGGCCUACAGAGAGCCUGGUUCAUUCAUUCUCUUUGAAGAAGGUCUGCCUGGUCACCUGCAGGGUAUGGGCUCAUCCAGGGUUAACGGUGGCCUCUCUGCAGUACUGUGGGGACAGGAAGUCCCCCUCCACCCAUUCUGGGUGUCAGGAUUGGUUUCUUUCUGGCUGCACAUUGAAGCAAACCCAGCGGCACUGUACAUCCUGCCUCUGGGGGCUGAGACACCGAAGCAGGAAAUUGCAUAACAGGCUUCGCUGGCGCCCGCCACCCAGAAGCCAUCUGGGUGGUGCCCUUCCCUGUUGUGGUAUGACUUUUGGUUAUGGAGUACCUGGGGGCUGCCCACAAGAGACCAUGGUGUUUGUGUUUGUACCAACAGCCGGACAAAGGUCGGAUCAUGCCAGGAUGGAGCCAGAGGAGCACAGGGACACAAAUCUUCACUGACAUGCGGCUGUAAGAGGGUGGGAGCGGCAGCUGAGUGUGGGGAGCAGAAUGUGCAGGGGGGGCCUGCCAGUAAAGUGGAUUCCAACUAGCAUCUGAUCACGCAGUGGAAGCGCUCUAGCCGCUCAAGUGAUAGCGGGUUAAAUUUAGAAGUCCAGACUGGGCUGAGAGACGCAGGCACCAGGCUCGGCCCAGCUGUGGCAGGUUCCUCUCUAGGGUCCCAGGCCUGCGGGAGCCGGCUGUCUGGGUGCUGGGCGAGGCCCACUGACCUAGAUGUCUGCAGGAGCAACUGCUCAGUGACCCCACAUGCCUGCCUGCCACCUCGACAGCCACUUGGUAGAGCCACCCUCUGCUCUGGCGCUAUUUCUAAAGGGACAAAGACUCACCGUAGGCUAGGUCACCACAAAGGAAACCCCACUGGGUCCCUAAAGGAGACAGUGUCCCUGGGGACUGGUGGCUGUGAGGCUCUGUCAGCCGCUCAAACUUUUCUAGCCAGGCCGCUUUCUGUGACCUCUGGCUCUGUCACUCAGCCUGGGUCCUCCACAGACACUGUUUCCCACCCGGCUGGGGUCCAGGCACUUGAUUAAAGCAUGUAUUUGAGGAAACAACAGGCCACCAGGCACACGUGCUGUCCAUAAGCUGUCCGCUAAGGUCACUGCUAUGCAUCUGCCACUGUGAAGAUCCCAUAUCCCAACAGCUGGCGUCAGUUACUGACGCCAACGCCUUUCCGGCUGCGGUGAUCACAUACACAGCUGCUCUUCCUCUUUCUCAGAUGAUGGAACUGACCCCCAGGAGGGACCCAGGGCCUGCUACAGGUCUCUCAGUUAGGAAGUUGCAGAGCUGGGCUGGCAUCAAGCACCUGGCCUUUGACCCCAUCCUGCUGCACCACGGGUCUCAGCCUUCGUGUACCAGGCUGCGCCUGCAGUCGGCGUGGUGCAGAGUAGGGCCUCAGCUGGGAACUUAAAUGAGAGGAAAGGCGUGUGAGUGGGUGAACCCCAUCUCUCAGCCCGUGUCCAGAGAGGCAAACCCUGAAAUUGACCUUGGUCCUACUGAGCCCAGUUCAUAUUUUAUCAGAUAUUUUUAACCAGACAGAUGAAGUGUGGCCUGGCUGCGUAUUUUCAGCGAGCGAGGUGCAGUUAGGAGUCCUACACUAUUCUUGGCUGUCACUGGUCUGGCUGAGUGAGGUCGGCAAGUCGCUGAGUUUCCCAAUCUUCAGGCUGGAUGCACACACACCCAGCCUGCCUUUUCUGGCCAUGCCAGACGACAUGCUUCAAGUCAGACAUGCAAAUGGGGCUUCUCCCCAGAGCCAACACCCUGGUUAAUCUCAGAGACCAGAGGACCUCAUUUUAAAUAUGGCUAAACUCCUCUGCCACGUGCAGGCGACAAGGACCAGGCUUGGUUACUCAGGACUCUUAGGCAUCCUUUAUAAAUAUAUACUGAGUACCAGUCAAAUGGUCCGAUGAUGUAGUAAAGAUAUUUUUUUCACAGCUUUAUGGGGAAAUAAUUCACAUAUCACCCAUUUAAAGAGUAUUUGUCUGGUUUCAGUACACUUUGCAGAUACGUGCAAUUGUCUUAGUUCACUGGGGCUGCUAUAACAAAAUACCAUAGACUGGGCAGCUUAUAAACAACAGAAAUCUACUUCUCACAGUGCUGGAGGCAGAAGUCCAAGAUGAAGAUGCCAGCAGACUCAGUGUGUCAUGAAAGCCACUUUCUGGUGUUUAGAUGACGUCGUCUCAUUGUCUUCAUGUGGUGGAAGGGGCGGGGGUCUCUCAGGCCUCUUAUAAAGGGGUGCCAAUCCCAUUGGCCUCCCAAAGGUCCCAGCACCCCCACACUGGUGAUUAGAUUUCAACACAUGAACUGGAGAGGGGACAAAACAUAUGGACCAUAGUGUAAAUGAUCUCCACAGUCACUUCUAGGAUUUUUAUUCUAGCAUCUCAAAAAGAAACCCUGUACCUUUCAGCCACCACCUCUUUAGGCCCCUGUGCUAGGCAACCACAAACCCAUUUUCUGCCUCUCUAGAGUUCCCUGUUCUGGACAUCUUGUAUGAAUGCAUGCAAAUGAGUGUGCUCUUGGGCCUGGCUUCUUCUCUGGGUGCAGUCUUCAGAGUGGAGUGUGCAGCACAGCCUCCCUGUGUGACAGACACAUGAAGGGUCUCCUGGCACUGGGUGCCUUGCUGAGUGUUGAAGACGGUGUGGCUCAGAGUGAAGAACCUAGGUGUGUUGCAAAGAGCUGAUGCCACACCCCUGGGUCUGCAGAGGGCUGAGGAGGCUGAAUGCAGGCCAUGACCUGCUGGUGCUCAGUCUGGAGGGUCUAGGAAGGCUUCUCUGAGGAGGUGGCCCUUUUGAGGAGGCUCGGAGGACCAAGAGGAGUUCCUAGGCCAUGCGAGAGAAGCCCAGGAAGGGGCAUUCUACAGAGAGGAAGCAGCCCGAGGGGCUGUGAAGCAGGGCAGGGAGGACAGCGGAGGACAUCUCACCAUGACAGAGAUGUCAAGUGUGACCUUGGUAGUCAGGGCAGUGAGCAGGUGCUGGGCGACACCCAAUGUCUCUACCUGAAGCCUCUGUGGACACUCUGCCCAGGGUCACUGCCCAGCAGCAACUCUCUAGACAGCAGCCUACUCUUCUGAAUGACUGAGAGAUGGGUGAGAAAAGAGUGCCAUACCAGCUCACAUCACCUGGGUGAGGAGGGCUAGGUCCCGGCUUCUUCUAGCUGGAAGUGGAGGCAGGACAGAGCACAUAGGCCAAACGGAUUAACACGCUCUGUCUUCAACUGUGCGUCUUUCACCAGGUCCCCCUUCUUCUCAGGUCUUGGUGUCCUCAGAUAUGGAAUGGAUAUGGAUGAAAGUGGUCCUUCAUAGGCUCGGGGAGGACAUCUAAAGGUUUGUUGGUACCAAGCACUUGGCCCAAGCCUGGCUCUGUAGGUGCCCAGUAAUUGUGAUCCACUUUUACUGUGAAGUCCCCAAGCCUCAGUUUUCUCAUCUGUAAGACAGGUAAGGUUACGCUCUGUUCACAGGGGAGAGUGAUGAAUAGGACCACUGAGAAAAGCACUCGUCACAGGCCCUUGCCCGUAGCCAGGUGUCAAAGGGUGUUAGCUGUUUUUGACCUUGUAACCAAUAUUAAGUGGCUUUCCUUUCUGUCCCAAUUUCAGCAGAGACUUUGAAGAUACAAAACACCACCACUCCUGUGGUGCAUGCGUGUAAUCCCAGGUACUCAGGAAGUGAAGGUAAGAGGAUCAUGGUUCAAGGGCAGCCUUGGCAAAGCUAGGGCAAGACCCUAGCUGAAAGCAAACUAAAAGCUAAAGGACUGGGGGUGUAGCUCAAGUGGUAGAGCACUGUGGUGCUCUCUGGCCAGCCUUUGUCCCACUGCCACUGAGGGGUGUGAAGCAGACUGAGUGGGAGGCCACUUUGCACUGGAUCCCUGUUGAUAGGCCAGGUGUUCUUUUGGUGCAGCUGCUUCAAUCCAAAUCCUCCACCCCUGGCUGUGGGCUGCCCUGGGAUGGCCAUCCAGUCUCCCUGCAGCCUCACUAGCAGUUUGCACUACCCUGUCUCUGUGAGCUCCGCCCUGGGCCCCACCAAGGGUUCCAGGCUCCAUCAAUGUUAACCAUGGUGCCCAGUGUUGGAAACCACCCUCGGAGCUGAGAUUCUGUGGAUCCUGCAGGCAAAACUGGGCUCAGCAGCUGUCCCAGCAGGUCAUGGGCACCUGUUUGCUAACUGCUGCCUCAAUUAGUCUCUGUGCUAACCACUUGCACAUCCUAUUAUAUCAAGACCCCAGCUAUGAUGAUGAGAGAUGUAAGACUGCGACUUUUCCACUUCCCAAACCGUCCUUCUCACCAUCCAUUGAAGGAAACAUGGAUGCUAGCAUCAGCCAACACCAUCAAUUGCUGAAGUGCCUUUUUGAAUGUGCCACUAGGAGCUGUGUUAUUGGGAAUGAAAGUACAACAUUUUCCUCCCAACAAAACACAAACUCCCCCUUUCUCUGCCAGACUCAUAUCCAGCACUAUCCUAUCUUCCUAAGCCAUUCUGCUAGUGGCAUCAACUGACUAGCUACCCCCUGAAGAGCAUCCUGUUGACUGUAAUAAAUGUAAUUAGUCCAGUUCACAUUUUUAUUAAUUGUGAACUGAAGAAGAGUGCAAGCUCAAAUCUGUGUAUAUGGUUGUGGGCCUUAAAUUCAUUGGGGGAGCCCCCUCAAGACUCCUACUGAGUCAAUAUAUGUAGAUAUGAGUCAAAAGACCCCAACAUUGUCUCCGUGCCCAGUGAUUACUUUUAUCCAGUUUGGGUAGCUGGGGGAAGGCCAGGGCGAAUGAAAUGGUCAAUGGAACUAGGGAACAAGUCCCAGUCCAGUUGGAUUAUAAUAUGUCAUGGAGGUUCCUUUUCCCAUAAUACCACCAGACAUUGGUCCAGGUUAUGUAGAGGAGCUGAGUAAUUGCCAACGCUUGACUCACUGGUGAUUUUUAAGACAUUGGUGCAAGUUGUCAGUUCUUCCAUGGGUCUAGUGAACUUUUCCCCCUGCCUAGAGAGGCAAGAGAAAUAUAUUCCCUAUAGAGAAAGAGGGGACUGCCCUGGGGAAAGAGCAAAGACAGACUCUUACAGAUCUCAUUUCCCCAUGCAUCUUGCCUUGGUAUAGGGCCAGCAUGCAAUGCAUUCCGGAGAUCAGUAUCCCAUCUGAGGGGAAAUGGAACCACCUGUGCCUGUGGCCAUCCGGCAGCACACAUGUAAAAAUCGCUCUUGUUAACAGCCUGUACUGUAAAUUUGACCCAUUUGACCCUGGCAUUCAUAUCACUAUACCCAGUUUCCAUUCCUAGAGUCUGUCUUAAAUCUUUUAUCUCAACUAUCUCUACUCUCUUGGGGUCAUUAUUUGGCAUAUCAAAGUUCCUAUCAGGAUCUAGGGUUGCAUUGGCAUCAACUGAGUGUGAGGUUGUAUUUAUGACCAACUGGAGGAUCAGUCAUCUUAGAGGUUCCUUCCUGAAACAUCUGCUCCUAAUCCAUAUACCCGUGGUGCUACUUUAGGCUCCUGGUCUAGGGCGGCUGGGUUGUCUAAAGUCAAAAGUAUGGGAUAAAUUCUGGCAAUUGUUUGGUGGACUGCCAUUAGAUAAGUGUAGUUUGGUUUGUAAGGGGGCCAGUUUGGAAUUAAAUCUUUGGACAGAGACAGUUCAAUCCUGAUAUUGGGUUGUCUACCAGACCUUGCUCCAACUGGAACAGGGGAGGCUGAGGCUAUCUAUGCCCCUCUCAUCUCUCCCCACAUAGGUUCUGGGCAGAGGUAUUUACUUUUCCCUGGGAGUUGUCUUUGAUUUUCUAGAUUUCUACAAGGCAAAACCUGGCAGGCAUCAAAUUUGAGUUUGAGGUCCUGAAGUCUUGGUUACAAUAAUCAGUAAUUUAACCACUAUCCAUCUUUCACUCCUGGUAUAAUAACCCAUGGUAACCACAUCACUGCCCAGAGGUGGACCCAUCUUGUACCUGCUAUCAGAGGGCCUGAGGGUAUCCCUUAUACCUUUCUCAGAGUUAUUUUUAGAGGUUCCUCAGGAGACCUAUAUACUUUCCAUUGGUCCCCUUUCCCUUUUCUCUGGCUUUCUUUUACCAGUGCUCUGGCUUGGGUGUAAUGAGUCCACCCUUUUUCAGCUGUUUGUACAGCUGUCUCAGUGGUCAGGAGCACUUGAUAGGGGCCUUCCCAGCUGGGUUGGAGCUUGUCCUCCUUCCAAGUCUUGAUCAGCACCAGGUCACCAGGCUGGAAGUGAUGAACUGUGGAUUGAAGAGGCGGAAUCUGGGCGAGGAGUCCUUUUAGCCUAAGAGAUGACAGGGUAGAAGAUAUGGCCAAUAUACAGUUCCUUAAAAAUUGAUCUUUGGUCUCCAUGGUAGGAAGAUCAGCAGUCCUGCCCAGGUACGGGAGCCCACAGAACAUUUUAUAAGGGGACAGUCCCACGUCUUUUCUUGGGGCUGUCCUAAUCCUAAGGAGAGCUACUGGGAGACAUUUGGUCCAGGGCAGUUUGGUUUCUACAAUCAGUUUGGUAAUUUGUUUCUUAAGGGUCUGAUUCAUUCUUUCCACCUUUCCUGAGGAAGGGUGAUGCCAGGGAGUGAUAGUUCCAGUUAAUAUCCAAAUUCUACCUUAUUUUCUUUAACACCUUUGAGGUAAAGUGACUCCCACUGUCUGAGUCAAUAUUCUCCACCACACUAAACCCAGGUACAAUCUGUUCCAAGACUACUUUGAUGCCGUGCCCUGCUGUGGCAGUUGAGAAGAGGAAGGCCUCCACUCAGCCAGUGAAGUGAUCCACCAUUUCCAGUAGGUAUCUUUGUCAUCCCACCUAUGCAUCUCUGUGAAGUCUACCUGAAUGCUGUGAAAUGGUCUUAGCCUGGGUGGUCUUCCCCUUUCAUCUGUCUCCUCACUACCACCUUUUGGUUUAUUCUCUGGCAAGUCAGACAUCCCCCGCACACCGUUCAGCAAUGGUAUAAAUACCCACACAUCCAUAAUUUCUAAGAAUUGUGUCACACAUAGCUUAGGGACCCCCGUGACUUCCCCUACCAGCCCUCUCAUCAUGGGCUGGCUUAUCAUUUCUCUCCCAUCAGGGAGCACCCAUCUUCUAUCUCCUGUUUUAGUUCUAUUUUAUCUAGUUCCUUUUCUUUCUCUUUAGUGAACUGGGGCCUAAUGUUACUUUUGAAAUACUUGGGAUCAAGCUAAAGAAUCUGAUUUCUUCUUCCAGAGAGGCUCACUUGGCAGCCUUGUCUGCGAGUCUGUUACCCACAGCCUCCAUAGAGCUUCCCUCUUGGUGUCUGUUUACAUGGACAACAGCCACUUCUGUCGGGAGUAAAAGACUUUCUAAGACUUGCUUGACUAAUUCUCCAUGGACUAAUUCCUUUCCCUUGCUAUUUCUGAGACCCCGUUCUAUCCAAUUUUUCCAGGAGUAUGCACUACUCCAUUAGUGUGUUUAGAGUCAGUGUAUGGUGGUGCAUUCUUGGCUUUCGAGCAAUUUUAAGGACUGAUUAAGAACAUGUAACUUGCAGGUCUGACCGACCAGCUAUUAGGUAGUCUACCUCCUUCACAUAAAGAAUGUUUGGUUCCAGCAAUGAGAGUGCAGCCAUUAUGUCUCUUUCUCUUUAUUACCUGGGAUGAGCCAUGAGGCUUCUUAACUAAGAGGUCUGGGGUGUUGUAUAGUGACACUCAGGGCUCCAGCAGCCCAUCUUUAAUUAAUCCCUCAAUUACUGGUUGUAGGUCCCUUCUUCCUCAACAGGGAUGGGUUACUGCCUUCU